AUGCAAGACUACUUCGCGGACAAUCCAACUUAUCCGCCGCACCUCUUUUAAAGAAGGUAUCGAAUGUACUGACCCCUCUUUGUAAAAGUAGUGCAAACUUGUGAGGCCAAUUGUCGGUAUUUUACUCAAAGAAGAAAUGCCGCAUGCUUGAAGGGAUUUAGUGCAUAUCAAAAAAUCUCGGCAGCUAUGCGGGUAAUUGCAUACGACAGUCCGGCUGACUAUGCCGAUGAGUACCUUCGCAUUGGUAAAUAUACUACAAUUGAGUCAGUGCGUAGGUUUGCCAAAGUGAUCAUCCAUGUCUUUAGUCCUGAAUAUCUUCGGGCACCCAACAAGGAAGACACAAAAAAGUUGAUGGCAUCAAGUGAGAGAAGAGGUUGGCCUGGUAUGCUAGGAAGCAUUGAUUGUAUGCAUUGGACUUGA
rnacentral:rRNA from 1 species